rnacentral:rRNA from 1 species
AGCGAACGCUGGCGGCAGGCUUAACACAUGCAAGUCGAACGCCCCGCAAGGGGAGUGGCAGACGGGUGAGUAACACGUGGGAACGUACCCUUUGGUUCGGAAUAACUUGGGGAAACUCGAGCUAAUACCGGAUAAGCCCUUAUGGGGAAAGGUUUACUGCCGAAGGAUCGGCCCGCGUCCGAUUAGCUAGUUGGUGAGGUAAUAGCUCACCAAGGCGACGAUCGGUAGCUGGUCUGAGAGGAUGACCAGCCACACUGGGACUGAGACACGGCCCAGACUCCUACGGGAGGCAGCAGUGGGGAAUAUUGGACAAUGGGCGCAAGCCUGAUCCAGCCAUGCCGCGUGAGUGAUGAAGGCCCUAGGGUUGUAAAGCUCUUUCGCCAGGGACGAUAAUGACGGUACCUGGAUAAGAAGCCCCGGCUAACUUCGUGCCAGCAGCCGCCGUAA